AAGACACUGGAGCAGCUGUCACUGAGAAUCGGGUUGUAUACGGAGGAUCUAGUCAUCGCUCUUUUCAUCGGGGGAAAAAAAAGCCAAAGCCAAAAAAGCUUCUCCCCACGUGAAAAAGAUACAGCCAGAGUACUACAGGGUGCAACCUUGGAUUGUGAUGCAGUGAGGAGAAAGAAGAGAGAAAGCAACAGACAUGAAGGGAGGAGAGAGAGAGAGAGAGGUAGGUGAUACAGGUGAGAGAGAAAAUCAACGAGCUCUCACACAGAGACAAUCAAUAAGCUCUCUUCUCAGUCUAUUUCCUAUGGGCUGGCCUCAGUAAUAGCAUUGUGCCAAAGCCGUGUGAGUGCAGCCUGGGAAUAGGUUCAGGGUGAUGUGAUAGCAAAGUAUGAAGGCAGCACUGCUGACUGGGACUCACACUAAUUGUUACCUUUGUCAUAAAAAGGGCAGAGAAAUCACUGGGAGGACUGUGGUAGAGAUUUAUGGAGGCCUACCAGCACAGAGGGGUGCAUGGAGAUGAGGAGAGAAGUAUUGUUAUCCACGGCUUGGUUUUCUUUGAUGUGAAUGCAAUAUUUUUGUGUUGGGCUUAUUAGA